AUUGAACGCUGGCGGCAGGCCUAACACAUGCAAGUCGAGCGGAUGAAGGGAGCUUGCUCCUGGAUUCAGCGGCGGACGGGUGAGUAAUGCCUAGGAAUCUGCCUGGUAGUGGGGGAUAACGUCCGGAAACGGGCGCUAAUACCGCAUACGUCCUGAGGGAGAAAGUGGGGGAUCUUCGGACCUCACGCUAUCAGAUGAGCCUAGGUCGGAUUAGCUAGUUGGUGGGGUAAAGGCCUACCAAGGCGACGAUCCGUAACUGGUCUGAGAGGAUGAUCAGUCACACUGGGACUGAGACACGGUCCAGACUCCUACGGGAGGCAGCAGUGGGGAAUAUUGGACAAUGGGCGAGAGCGUGAUCCAGCGCUGCCGCGUGUGUGAAGAAGGUCUUCGGAUUGUAAAGCACUUUAAGUUGGGAGGAAGGGCAGUAAGUUAAUACCUUGCUGUUUUGACGUUACCAACAGAAUAAGCACCGGCUAACUUCGUG
rnacentral:rRNA from 1 species